GUUUAAGUGUUUACCUGCUGUGGCACACCUGACCACUGAAGUGGUUUUGUUAUUUUAACCCUUUAACACCUGAACUAAGACAGAAUGGACAGAAAACUUCUUUAUUUGGCCCUUUACAUAAAUGUAAAACAUGUUUAAAAAAAUUUGAUUACAUAUAUGUACCAUUUAUUACCGUGAUGUCAGUAUUUUUGUAGUACCAAAGCUGUCCAUCAGGGGUCAGAAGACCAGUAUCAGAUUGUAUAUGACAGGGUUUGAAGCAAAGUUUUACCAUACAGUAAUGAAAAUGGGUUUCAGAAACUGAAUCAAAAAAGAUACACGUGGUGUUUAAGGGUUAUUAAAACACAUUUCUGUUUAUUUUUUUUCUUUCAAAUCAGUUGCUGAUGUGGAGGGAGCAU